ensembl:snRNA U2 U2 spliceosomal RNA
AUCAAUCAUAUGGGCUUCAGGCCCAGGUCAAGUGUAGUAUCUCUUCUUAUCCAUUUAAUAUGUGAUAUGUCAGCAAUCUGAGGACAAUAUAGGCAAUGGUUUUCUAGGGUGGGAAGAUGGAAAAGGAGCCUUCUCUACACGCUCUACACCAUCAACCUGGCUCUGCAAUGCCUCAGGAAUGGUCCAUCCUGU